GGAGUCUGGUCCGUGUCUCAGUACCAGUGUGGGGGACCUUCCUCUCAGAACCCCUACUGAUCGUUGCCUCGGUGGGCCGUUACCCCGCCGACAAGCUAAUCAGACGCAUCCCCAUCCCAUAGCGGUGAACCUUUGCUCCUCGUCAGAUGCCAUCAAAGGAGAACAUAGAGCAUUAAUCCGACUUUCGCCGGGCUAUUCUCUACUGUGGGGAAGGUUGGAUACGCGUUACUCACCCGUGCGCCGGUCGCCAUCAUCGGUUGCAAGCAACCAACAUGCUGCCCCUCGACUUGCAUGUGUUAAGCCUGUAGCUAGCGUUCAUC
rnacentral:rRNA from 1 species